AGUGAACGCUGGCGGUAGGCCUAGCACAUGCAAGUCGAACGGCAGCACAGUAAGAGCUUGCUCUUACGGGUGGCGAGUGGCGGACGGGUGAGGAAUACAUCGGAAUCUACUUUUUCGUGGGGGAUAACGUAGGGAAACUUACGCUAAUACCGCAUACGACCUACGGGUGAAAGCAGGGGAUCUUCGGACCUUGCGCGAUUGAAUGAGCCGAUGUCGGAUUAGCUAGUUGGCGGGGUAAAGGCCCACCAAGGCGACGAUCCGUAGCUGGUCUGGGGGGAUGAUCAGCCACACUGGAACUGAGACACGGUCCAGACUCCUACGGGAGGCAGCAGUGGGGAAUAUUGGACAAUGGGCGCAAGCCUGAUCCAGCCAUACCGCGUGGGUGAAGAAGGCCUUCGGGUUGUAAAGCCCUUUUAUUGGGAAAGAAAAGCAGCAGGUUAAUACCCCGCUGUUCUGACGGUACCCAAAGAAUAAGCACCGGCUAACUUCGUG
rnacentral:rRNA from 1 species